AAAUUGAAGAGUUUGAUCAUGGCUCAGAUUGAACGCUGGCGGCAGGCCUAACACAUGCAAGUCGAGCGGAAACGAGUUAUCUGAACCUUCGGGGAACGAUAACGGCGUCGAGCGGCGGACGGGUGAGUAAUGCCUAGGAAAUUGCCCUGAUGUGGGGGAUAACCAUUGGAAAC
rnacentral:rRNA from 1 species